GGUCUUCAGAGCAGCGUGAACGGGCGUCAUCUGAGAGCAAGACAGUCCUGGCGCCUUUGUGGUUCCCUCCAGACUGACCUGUCCAGGUUAUACCCCCGCCUCUGGCCCCAUAACAGCUGGGAUGGCUCCAAUGGUUAAGCAGAAGAAAUGGAUGGAAGGAUGAUCCAAAGAGAAACAUUGAAGGCCCUCUCACAAAAAAAGAUAAGAACUCAUUUUACACAUUGUUGAAACAUCCUGAAAGUUAUUUGUUGUGUUUAGAAACUGGUUGAACUGUCAUUAGAGUUUGUUUCGACUUGUUGUUCAUUUCUUAUUCGGUUCAGCUGUGUUUCUAUGUGUCCUUAGUUCCCAUAAUCAGCCUCCUGUGUGUAAAUAUUGUGUCAGUCUCCCUUUGUCCCUUGUCAGAGUGUUAGUCUCCGUCCCCUCGUGUUUCCUUGCCUCAGUAGUUCUGUUUCCUACAGUUUUCCCCCAGUAUAGGUUUUGGUUAGACUUUUUCAGUUCCCUUUGUCAGUCUUUGUAUUUGGUAUUUCCUCAUCAGUCUCAUCACUUUCCUCUCCAGAGAGAAAACAAUAAAAAGACCUGAAGAGACGUCUAUGCAAACGCUCUCAUUGUGAAAGAUAAGUAUACAUCCAACUAAUCUGUGACUCUGUCACAGCUCUGAUCAGCAAUUCUUUCAGGUUUGUCUGUUUUGAUGAUGUUAUUAAUUGUUAUUAUCCUUUAUCCAGUUAACUUUCAGAGAGGAGCGGAGGGAGGAGCGAAGCCAGCGUGCUCUGUAAACUGUCAUUAAAAAAAAGAUAAGUAUAUAUUGAUUUUAUAUUAUUAUGACAGCUCCUCCUCAGUGAACACUUCCUCUAGUUGCUGAAAUCAUUUACUAAUUUUUUUCUUCCCAUUUGUCUUUUGUUUUUCAGAGAAAACAGAGGAGCCAAGGUGACAUUAAGACCUAAGACAGGACGGAUUGAACCCUUUCUCGUAAAAAGAUAAGUAUUCACUCUGCUUUUAAUCAGAAUAUUGAUAAAUAUCUAAAAUUCUGCUCACCUGGUUGAUAAAGUUACUAAAAUGAUUCCCUCUUUUCUGUCAUUUGUCCUUUAGAGAGAAGAUGAGGAGAGUGAACGUCAGCAAGAAUGAACAAAGUGUCAGGAAAAAGAGCCAAGAUGAGAAGAAACUCCACACAGAAGAUUUUCCCUCAGUAAAAUGGAGAGGAGCAGUAACGACACUGGGAGACAAACAACAGGAUGAUCCAAAGAGAAACAUCAAAGGCCCUCUCACCAGCUUUCAUUUAUUAAAUUUGUCUUUACUGAACGA